rnacentral:rRNA from 1 species
UACGAAGGGGGCGAGCGUUGUUCGGAAUUACUGGGCGUAAAGGGCGCGCAGGCGGCCCUUGAAGUCAGGCGUGAAAGCCCCGGGCUCAACCUGGGAGGUGCGCUUGAUACUGCGUGGCUUGAGUAUCGGAGAGGUUGGUGGAAUUCUCGGUGUAGAGGUGAAAUUCGUAGAUAUCGAGAGGAACACCGGUGGCGAAGGCGGCCAACUGGACGAAUACUGACGCUGAGACACGAAAGCGUGGGGAGCAAACAGG